ensembl:lncRNA
AGAUGGCCCAGGGUGUGAGUGGGCGUUAAGGCGUCUGGGAAGGGAUCUCAAAACUGGAUUAUAGAUGGUAGACAGUUGGUGUCGUAAGCCACCGCCUCUGCUCAAAGAUGGUCGCUCACAGUGGACAUAGAUGGCUUCUUUCACUCCUCUUUCAAACCAUCUGUCCUCUCUGUCCAAAAUGUGAAUUCUUGGCUUUUACUUUUCAAAUAACUUUCCCACUUUGUGUUUUGCUCCACAGGGAGAAGAAGGCAAGACUGGUUCACCAGGGAAGAGGGGUCAUGUUGGAAGGAGGGGAAAAAGGGGAAAGGCUGGAGUCAGAGGGCCCAGGGGAGAGAGAGGACCAAAGGGUGAAAAGGGAGACACAGGACCGGUGGGGCUCCCUGGAUGGUCAGGACUCAUUGGAAUCCCCGGCUUACGUGGAGAGUCAGGUGAUCAAGGUCAAAGGGGUGAAAAGGGUGACAAAGGAGACAUGGGACUGCCUGGACUACCUGGAGUUGAUGGCAUGAAGGGUAUCCGUGGUCCUGUUGGAUUGCCUGGUCCAGAGGGUCCAAAAGGGGAACAGGGAAACAUUGGUCUGCCAGGGCCCAGGGGCAUGUCAGGGAUGCCAGGAUUGCCUGGUUUGUUUGGAUUAAAGGGAUUGAAAGGCUACCAAGGUCUGCCUGGUCCACCUGGCAGGAAGGGGCUGCCGGGUCCACCUGGCAUUCCCGGACUUCCCGGAAAGUCACUGAACAUGACCUUGUCUCAGCUCAAGGCAAGUAGUUUCUAAACUGUAUUGCCAAUUAUAUGUUGGAAUUGUUGUUUUCUGUUACGAAAUAUUCGAUUAAAAUUGCA